GCAGGCGUAGUCUAAUGGUAAAACCUCAGCUUCCCAAGCUGAUGCCGCGGGUUCGAUUCCCGUCGCCUGCUCCA
rnacentral:tRNA from 1 species